rnacentral:rRNA from 1 species
GGACUACACGGGUAUCUAAUCCUGUUUGCUCCCCACGCUUUCGCAUCUCAGCGUCAGUUGUCUUCCAGAUGGCCGCCUUCGCCACAGGUGUUCCUCCCGAUAUCUACGAAUUUCACCUCUACACCGGGAAUUCCGCCAUCCCCUCCGACACUCAAGCCUAGAAGUAUCAGAUGCAGUUCCUGAGUUAAGCCCAGGGAUUUCACAUCUGACUUUCCAGACCGCCUACAUGCGCUUUACGCCCAGUAAUUCCGAACAACGCUUGCACCCUCUGUAUUACCGCGGCUGCUGGCAC